GAGGUGGAGGGGUCUAUAUGGGCUGAGAUGUGGAGGGGUCUAUAAGGUUUGGUCUUUCUGUAGGGCUGAGAGGUGGAGGGGUCUAUAAGGUCUGGUCUUUCUGCAGGUCUGAGAUGUGGAGGGGUCUAUAAGGUCUGGUCUUUCUGCAGGUCUGAGAUGUGGAGGGGUCUAUAAGGUCUGAGAGGUGGAGGGGUCUAUAAGGUCUGAGAGGUGGAGGGGUCUAUAUGGUCUGGUCUUUCUGCAGGGCUGAGAUGUGGAGGGGUCUAUAAGGUCUGGUCUUUCUGCAGGGCUGAGAUGUGGAGGGGUCUAUAAGGUCUGAGAGGUGGAGGGGUCUAUAAGGUCUGGUCUUUCUGCAGGGCUGAGAUGUGGAGGGGUCUAUAAGGUCUGAGAGGUGGAGGGGUCUAUAAGGUCUGGUCUUUCUGCAGGGCUGAGAUGUGGAGGGGUCUAUAAGGUCUGAGAGGUGGAGGGGUCUAUAAGGUCUGGUCUUUCUGCAGGGCUGAGAUGUGGAGGGGUCUAUAAGGUCUGGUCUUUCUGCAGGGCUGAGAGGUGGAGGGGUCUAUAAGGUCUGGUCUUUCUGCAGGGCUGAGAUGUGGAGGGGUCUAUAAGGUCUGGUCUUUCUGCAGGGCUGAGAUGUGGAGUGGUCUAUAAGGUCUGGUCUUUCUGCAGGGCUGAGAGGUGGAGGGGUCUAUAAGGUCUGGUCUUUCUGCAGGGCUGAGAGGUGGAGGGGUCUAUAAGGUCUGAGAUGUGGAGGGGUCUAUAUGGUCUGGUCUUUCUGCAGGGCUGAGAGGUGGAGGGGUCUAUAAGGUCUGAGAUGUGGAGGGGUCUAUAUGGUCUGGUCUUUCUGCAGGGCUGAGAUGUGGAGGGGUCUAUAAGGUCUGGUCUUUCUGCAGGGCUGAGAUGUGGAGGGGUCUAUAAGGUCUGAGAGGUGGAGGGGUCUAUAUGGUCUGAGAGGUGGAGGGGUCUAUAAGGUCUGGUCUUUCUGCAGGGCUGAGAGGUGGAGGGGUCUAUAAGGUCUGGUCUUUCUGCAGGGCUGAGAGGUGGAGGGGUCUAUAAGGUCUGGUCUUUCUGCAGGGCUGAGAUGUGGAGGGGUCUAUAAGGUCUGGUCUUUCUGCAGGGCUGAGAGGUGGAGGGGUCUAUAAGGUCUGGUCUUUCUGCAGGGCUGAGAUGUGGAGGGGUCUAUAAGAUCUGGUCUUUCUGCAGGGCUGAGAUGUGGAGGGGUCUAUAAGGGCUGGUCUUUCUGCAGGGCUGAGAGGUGGAGGGGUCUAUAUGGUCUGAGAGGUGGAGGGGUCUAUAAGGUCUGGACUUUCUGCAGGGCUGAGAGGUGGAGGGGUCUAUAAGGUCUGGUCUUUCUGCAGGGCUGAGAGGUGGAGGGGUCUAUAUGGUCUGAGAGGUGGAGGGGUCUAUAAGGUCUGGACUUUCUGCAGGGCUGAGAGGUGGAGGGGUCUAUAAGGUCUGGUCUUUCU